rnacentral:rRNA from 1 species
GAUGAACGCUGGCGGCGUGCCUAAUACAUGCAAGUCGAGCGAACAGACGAGGAGCUUGCUCCUCUGACGUUAGCGGCGGACGGGUGAGUAACACGUGGAUAACCUACCUAUAAGACUGGGAUAACUUCGGGAAACCGGAGCUAAUACCGGAUAACAUGUUGAACCGCAUGGUUCAACAGUGAAAGACGGUCUUGCCGUCACUUAGAGAUGGAUCCGCGCCGCAUUAGCUAGUUGGUAAGGUAACGGCUUACCAAGGCAACGAUGCGUAGCCGACCUGAGAGGGUGAUCGGCCACACUGGAACUGAGACACGGUCCAGACUCCUACGGGAGGCAGCAGUAGGGAAUCUUCCGCAAUGGGCGAAAGCCUGACGGAGCAACGCCGCGUGAGUGAAGAAGGUCUUCGGAUCGUAAAACUCUGUUAUUAGGGAAGAACAAAUGUGUAAGUAACUAUGCACGUCUUGACGGUACCUAAUCAGAAAGCCACGGCUAACUACGUG